rnacentral:sRNA from 1 species
AAGAUUCGAACCUGCCGCAGGUUCGGGUCUCACGUAGUGAGACAACGGAGCCGCUUGCGGCGACGGCCCGAAGGGCGAGCGAAGCGAGUCAUCCUGCACGACCCACCA